rnacentral:tRNA from 2 species
GGGUGAUUAGCUCAGCUGGGAGAGCACCUGACUUUUAAUCAAUUGGUCGCAGGUUCGAAUCCUGCACGACCCACCA